GGAUUGGGAGGGUUCUACGGAACCCGUUUGGUGAAUCUAGUGCCGAGAAAAGCCUUCUAUGUGUUGAAUUUCUAGUACCCGUACCCCAAACCGACACAGGUGGGUGGGUAGAGCAUACCUAGGGGCGCGUGAUAACUCUCUCUAAGGAACUCGGCAAAAUGGCCCUGUAACUUCGGGAUAAGGGGUGCCUGCGUGAGCAGGCCGCAGUGAAAUGGCUCUGGCGACUGUUUACCAAAAACACAGGUCUCUGCUAAGUCGUAAGACGAUGUAUAGGGGCUGACUCCUGCCCAGUGCCGGAAGGUUAAGGAAGUUGGUUAGCGCAAGCGAAGCUGGCGACCGAAGCCCCGGUGAACGGCGGCCGUAACAAUAACGGUCCUAAGGUAGCGAAAUUCCUUGUCGGGUAAGUUCCGACCCGCACGAAAGGAGUAACGAUCAGAGCGCUGUCUCGGAGAGAGACACGGCGAAAUAGGAUUGUCCGUGAAGAUACGGACUACCUGCACCCGGACAGAAAGACCCUAUGAAGCUUUACUGUAACUUGGAAUUGUGUUCGGACUUUGUCUGCGCAGAAUAGGUGGGAGGCUAUGAAACGUUCCUCGCGGGGAACUGGAGCCAUCGUUGAGAUACCACUCUGCAGAGUCUGGAUUCUAACCUACGGGGACAGUUCCAGGUGGGCAGUUUGACUGGAGCGGUCGCCUCCUAAAAUGUAACGGAGGCGCGCAAAGGUUCCCUCAGGCUGGUUGGAAAUCAGCCAUAGAGUGUAAAAGCAUAAGGGAGCUUGACUGUGAGACCUACAAGUCGAGCAGGGACGAAAGUCGGCUUUAGUGAUCCGACGGCACUGAGUGGAAGGGCCGUCGCUCAACGGAUAAAAGUUACUCUAAGGAUAACAGGCUGAUCUCCCCCAAGAGUUCACAUCGACGGGGAGGUUUGGCACCUCGAUGUCGGCUCGUCGCAACCUGGGGCGGUAGUACGUCCCAAGGGUUGGGCUGUUCGCCCAUUAAAGCGGCACGUGAGCUGGGUUCAGAACGUCGUGAGACAGUUCGGUCCAUAUCCGGUGUAGGCGUAGGAGCAUUGAAAGGAUCUCUCCUUAGUACGAGAGGACCGGGAGGGACGUACCUCUGGUGUACCUGUUAUCGUGCCAACGGUAAACGCUGGGUAGCCAUGUACGGAGUGGAUAACCGCUGAAAGCAUCUAAGUGGGAAGCCCACCUUAAGAUGAGUGCUCCC
rnacentral:rRNA from 1 species